CGCACAGGUUUUCGCGACUGCCUGCAACCUUCGCCCGCAUGGAGAGAGUGCAACGGAAUUACUUGAUGAGUCUAUCGGCGAUGGGGAACCAUCAUGACGAGUGUAGACGCCAUCCACUGAAUCUCAUGCCGGCGGUAUUAGCACCGAUUGGUCGCUGGAGUAUCGAGCGGAACGGAGCUGAGGCACGACAGCAGUCUCUUACUGUUUGUCUCGAAUAUAAUAACAAGUGUCAAACGACAUCCGUAAAUUGUCGUAGUCGGCUUUUCUACGAGGUAUCAUCGUUCGAGGGCUCUCUUAAUCGCCCUAUUGAAUCUAGUGUCCAUGCUGUUGCCAACGACGGAAAGCCGCACUCGCUAGCGACAACAGCAAAGGAGUGUACACGGAAUUCGCGGCAGACAGACGCAGUCUCUCAGCGUAUCGACCACAGCCGGUCCUAUUUGUUGCCAGAGUGAGACAACUCGUUCUGUAUACUAUAAGUUCGACCUUACAAAUAGCGUGAAAUAGAUCGUGACCCAUUUUGAGAAGAUACUGCAAGACUGCUUCACGCUGAGGGUCCGCCGAGAAGGCUUGCCCGAACUCUGUCUGCAGAAACAGCCAAAGAAACCGUCGAGACGAAACGUUAAAGUCAACUUGAUUGAAAACAUUGAUGGAUGCGGAUGUGUCUCGCGCACCGUGAUAAAUGGGUGAUAAUUUUCGUGGAACCGAUAUAUUGGUUUAACAGCGCUGGUGAUGGGGUCGUUCGGUCAACAGUAAACGUGUGGCCUCAAUUCUAUCGCCUCCAGAACUGACAUUUGCCAGGUGGUCAACUCAGACUUAGGCCGACAAUUCACAUAUAAGGGAAGUUGUCAUAUUCUGAUUCUGUCGAGAAGCAGGCCGCGAACCGGCAUAUUCAGAGACAAAAAAUGUGGGUACGGAAAACUCUCGCGAUGAGCCAGGGUUCGCUUUUUGUUGCGGUCAUCAUGGCAGCAGUUGCAGUCUCCGUGGUCUGGAGCUUACCACAAGCGAUUACGUUACCUGAUAGCACUGUUCCCUGUACCGAUGAAACCUGUGAGAUGGAAUGCACAACGGCCGGAAGCACCAGGGGCGAAAAUGUCACUACGACAUCAAGCUGUCAAAAAUCCAGCGGUGCAUGCAAUUGUUGUAUAUUACCUGACUGUGAGGUAACCUGUCAAGAAAGACGUCGCAAAGAACGACCUCGUUCGAAGGAGGUGCGCAGUCGAUGUACGGAGAAGGCCGAAUGUUACUGCAACUUCCUGUGGUUCGAUACAAUGGAUGAUCCGGUGAAUUCCCCCUGACCAGAGCUCCGGUUCAGAUGAACAGCAGCCUCACCCACUAAAUAGAUAUCGAAUAGUAAUAAAUAGAUACACCUUAUUAUUGUUUCUGAUAUAUUAUCACAGAUACACGUACUGCUUUGUAAAAUUUUAUAUUAUUAUUUACUGUUUUUGGUGGCUCGGCUGCAAGGAUAGGUUGCAAGGGCUAGUACGAUACUCGUGACAUGGCCAUUUGGGCCUCCACUUAUUCUAGACAUUGAUAUUAUAUAAAAUAUUAUACAUGUAAUUUCGAAGCUUGUAGACAGCGCAAAUAGGGAAAGCCAUGAUAGACGGUGUAGAUGACUAAUCCGUGAUGUUACAGUUGGAUAACAGGAACACGAAACUCUUACACACACACAUAUAUAUAUAUAUAUAUAUAUAUAUAUAUAUAUAAGAACGUUUAUUACGCGCUAUUACAUGAGUGCUAAAUGAAGAGAUAAGUAGAUAAAUCAACGCACUCCUUAAUUUAUAGGAUGUCAAGAUUUACCGCGUCAGCUACUUCGUUAAAAGGAACAGAAAAUGCGAGACACAGUGAAUGAGAUCAACUGACAAACUGACAGACCGAAAAAAAAAGGAUAAAUAGGGAUUGUGCUAUGAAAAGUAGCACCAUUGUAGCAUAGAAAUAAACAUGUAAAACAAUAGAACUUGAGUGUAUGUGUCUUUCGGUAAAUGUUGGCUUUCUUCUUUGAUAUAGCUAGCUUUGCGUAAUGUCUGUCCAUAAAUUCACACGUACGUACAGAGGAAGGCAAGAGCCUAAAUUAAGAUUUUUUCUUAUAUUUAAGCCAAAACGAUUUCCCGAUGAAACUUCAUCUAUGUGCUGCAAGCAUAUCCCUAACGGUCAUACAACGACCAUUAUUCAAUACAACCACUAUCUACUUUGAAUAGGAGUCAAUUUUAGAAUAUGCAUUAUUUAAUUCACAAGUAACUUUUUGAUAGUAAUCACACGUCAAAAGAUAUGAGUAGGUGUAAAUUAAACACUUUACAUAUAUUAAAAUUUUGAAGCAAUUACAUAUUGGGCUUAUAGCAGGCUAAAAGCCCUAAGAAUGCACUCAAAAGGACCAGAAGGGAAAAAGGUGUAAAAAGUCUCUAAAAGGCUCAUCGUUGGAACUUGCGUGGGUGACAAAAUUGACAUUGAUAUUUUCCUUUCAAAAACAGCCAUUAAUUUCUGUAUUGAAAACUUAAAUUUAUCUAAAAAUAGAGAAUCUUCUGAUUUGCCUCAUGAAAGUCAACCUUGGAUUUUUCAGAAACUGCUAAAGAAUGGAAACACGUAAGUCGUCGAUUUCGAGAGAAAAAAAAAAAUCAAUUUUGCUAGGGGUUCAUCCAGCGCGAAAAGAUUGUAUAAUAGCUGAUUUUUGCUUACAUCCCGAAAGCGACACGCUGUUUCUUGUUUGUUGUUUAACUUUAGAAUGUAACCGGCUUCUGUCUGGUGCGAUAAGUAGCGGACACCCGGUAUGAUUAAUAUGAAUCCGAAUGUACUGCUAUAUAUAUAUAUAUAUAUAUAUAUAUAUAUAUAUAUAUAUAUUCAUAAAGAUAGCUUUCCUUAAUCGCACAGUUUGCAUUCUAUGUGCCGUUAAAGGAACUUAAAACAGCGACCCCAGUGGCUAAAAGCUUGGCCAUUAAAACUAUCGCGUUUACACAAGUAUAUUUCGAGUUCCAUAUAUAGAUUUAUAAAGUUUGUAAACUUAAUAUAGCUGAUACGUUCUCACAUGUGAACGAGUAAGAUUAUUUAGAAUUGAGUGAUCAAUUUGUUUUUACCCUUAUCCGAUCUUCGGUCCUUUCAGCUUUCGGUUUUUGAGACUAAUACAGGAGCGAUGAAAUAUGCUUUCGGCCUUGCAGCCACGUGUUCUUCAAGUUCACAUUAAUAGCAUUUUUUCUAUCUGCUUCGGAGAAUUGUGUAUUUACACAGUUCUCCAAGAUUAGGGCCUACAUAUAUGUCCAUAUUAAGGUAACCCUUAAGCUUUGUUCUUGUAGUAUAAACAAAUCAGCUGUUCACGCUGCCAACGACACAAAAGCAGAAAAUGAAGGUUCGUCGAGUGCUGAGUUUACGAAAUUAAAAAAGAAACACAAUAAAAAACAGAUUUUUUUUUGGCUUUUUUCGAAGUAUGGUAACUUUAUUAUAGUAGAAUCUGAGCUGAAUCUAUCCUUCGUUUAUCUGGACUGAAACCUGGAGUGUCACGAGCGGCGGGUUCUGCUGGCAAGGGACUUCAUCAUCACGCAAAAAAGUAACGAAGUUGUGCGCAGCCGAUGU